GACGAAGGAUCCAAGCGUUAUCCGGAUUUAUUGGGUUUAAAGGGUGCGUAGGUGGCUUUAUAAGUCAGUGGUGAAAUCUCGAUGCUUAACAUCGAAACUGCCAUUGAUACUGUAGAGCUUGAAUAUGUUUGAAGUGGGCGGAAUGUAUAGUGUAGCGGUGAAAUGCUUAGAUAUUAUACAGAACACCGAUUGCGAAGGCAGCUCACUAAGCCAUUAUUGACACUGAUGCACGAAAGCGUGGGUAGCGAACAGG
rnacentral:rRNA from 1 species